UGAUCACCGAAGUUAAGCAACAUUGAGCUCAGUCAGUACCUGGAUGGGUGACCACUUGAGAAUACCAGGUGCUGUAAG